GAGAUAGAGGGGUGAGAACACUAGCGGACCCCGAACCAAGAUCGGAGGAAAGGGACUUGAUGCGCGGAGAUGUUCGAGAAUAAUGCAUGGUAGCUCCUAAUUCUAGAUGUGCGUGACUGUAUUGCAAGUCACCAACGACUUCUGAACAGUCGCAGCGUCAAUCCCUGCAACUUCCCUAUUAGUUGAAUUUCUAAUUCUAGUAGAUUAAGUCGGGCUUAGUAGUGGUGAGGCCUUUCCGAAUGAAUGAGCUUUGAUGAAGUUGGACAUUUAGGAGGGUGCCUUUCUUAGGCCUUGCACUUAAAAGAAAGUGCAUGCCUUAUUGCAAGUCGCCCACAUCUCACUAGAACAAGAGGCAUUGCACCUUGUGCACACCAUAUUAGACAUGCUUUUUAACAACUAUGCAAAUAAAAUUAGUAAAUUUAGCCUUGCUACGAAAGCUCAAGC
rnacentral:misc_RNA from 1 species